GAUGAACGCUGGCGGCGUGCUUAACACAUGCAAGUCGAGCGAAGCAGUUAAGUUGAUUUCUUCGGAUUGAUUCUUGACUGACUGAGCGGCGGACGGGUGAGUAACGCGUGGGUGACCUGCCCCAUACCGGGGGAUAACAGCUGGAAACGGCUGCUAAUACCGCAUAAGCGCACAGAGCUGCAUGGCUCGGUGUGAAAAACUCCGGUGGUAUGGGAUGGGCCCGCGUCUGAUUAGGCAGUUGGCGGGGUAACGGCCCACCAAACCGACGAUCAGUAGCCGGGCUGAGAGGGCGACCGGCCACAUUGGGACUGAGACACGGCCCAAACUCCUACGGGAGGCAGCAGUGGGGAAUAUUGCACAAUGGGGGAAACCCUGAUGCAGCGACGCCGCGUGAGCGAAGAAGUAUUUCGGUAUGUAAAGCUCUAUCAGCAGGGAAGAUAAUGACGGUACCUGACUAAGAAGCCCCGGCUAACUACGUGCCAGCAGCCGCAGUAA
rnacentral:rRNA from 1 species